CUGAGGUGGUGUGAUCGCACAGCUACCAAUGCAGUCACCACUGUCUCUAAAGAUUUUUCUUUGACCUUCUGAAAUGCUCUGCCUCACACAGCUGCAAGCAGGCUAAAAUAUACCCUUGUCCUCCGGAACAGAAUAAACCAACAUCAACUGCCUUCAAACCUAAGAGCUGGCGGCACUGGUUCCUGGAGUCCCAUGCUGCAGUGGUCAUCUGAAGCUAAGCCGUUCCUAGAGGCUGGAGCUCAUGGAGAGCAGUGUAGACAUUCCUGGAGCUUGCCCACGAUGAUUUCCACAGGACUGAUUCCAACCUAGUCCUUUCUGCUGGAAGUUUGGGCACGGGUGCCGUGAUAUUAUUACACCCUUCCUGUCACAGUUGGAGAGGGGCGGGAGGCACAGGGCAUCGGGGUUCUGUGAGGCUGAGCAAAUGUGCCUUUAAGGCCCUCUGCUCUCUCUGGCCAGCCCAAACCUGCCACCUGAGAUCAAAUGUCCUUAAAUUGGAAAUGUGUAAAGGGCAGCGUUUGUCCUUGUUUUUAGGAUUGGACUGUCCUUCUCAGUCCCCUUUCCAUGUACAUAAUGUUGAGAGGCCUGGAGGGUGACCCCAUGUCGGGCCCCCACUAUCAGGCAUCAACAGUCAGUGCUUGUAGCCCCUAUUUCUAUAUCGCGUUGUGGAAGCUACACGGCUUCCUGGUUUCCCUUUGCUGAAGUUGAGGCCAGUGAUGGCCACCCUGAGUGCCUGCCCAAUGGCACCCUGUGCCCUGGUCCCACAUCCUAGUUACCAGUGGACAGAGAAGUGCAGAUUCAGGAAGAGCUGGAGGGCCAGGCUCUGGCGGAACAUUGGCCCCUCAGGUUGUGCCCUUCUCAGGUUGUGCCCUUCUCUGAGCUCCACGGCUCAG
rnacentral:lncRNA from 1 species